CUGUUGUUCCUCUCUGCUUAGUACAGAAGCUUUAGGAGGAAGUUUACAUGCUAGCCCUGAUAGGAGAGGGUAGCAGGGGUGAAGGAGACUCUUGAAGUGGCCUGAGAGAAAACCAGCCCACAGGCAGAUGGCCUUAGGGGUAGACAGGCAUGGAGGAACCAGAGAAGAGCAAGUCUUCAGGGAGGUAACCCCCGGGAGUUAACAUUCUGCAGAAGAACAGCAAGCUGGUGCCAUGAAAAGAUAGGGGAAUACAAGGAUGGUUGGCAGCACUGGGAAGCUACCAUGAAGGGUCUGGCUACACGAGAAGGAUAACGAUUCUUCCUUAGACUAUGGCUAAAAUUUGUAAAAACAGCUUGAAUCGUAGGCGCCUGAACCCCAAGGAUUUAGGAGCCUAAAUCACUUGGGUGCUUUUGCAAACUUUAGCAUUUGGCAUCUACAUUCCAUUGACUUUCACUGGGACUUAGCCUCCUCGUCAUCAAAGCCCAGCUUUAUAAAGGUGUUUAAUGAGUUGCUGCGCUCAGGGUUGCGAUGCCUAACUGAUAGAGGAGCCGAAGUCUCCUAAGUGCCUAAAUCCCUUUUGAAGGUGAGGCCUAGGCUCCUACCUCCGUUAUGCAUGACGAUGCUGAGCACAGCAAUGCCUACCUACCUCGAAAAAUCUGGGCCUAAGUCACUUUUGAAAAUGGGACCGAGGCGCUUUUGAAAAUCUUAAUCUACUCAUGGUCAGGGCUUUACUGACCAGUGGGUUUGUAAGGCCCAGAUCUACAGCACAGUGAUUCAGAGACCAUGAGCUGUUUUAUACAAGUAGGGGAACAGAACAGUGAGGGGACUGGGCAGGCUGGGAGACCCCUGGACUGUGAAUAUGUGUAUUCAGCAGCAGUGCCAGACAGGCCAUGGGAGGAGCUAUUCCUGCAAGCUGGCCAUACAGGAUGGCAGAGCAGGGUGCUGGCUGGAAGGGGAAGUAGGAGGGAGGGGUAGGAUGAUAGCUCUGUGAGAGAGCAGGGAGUGCUGCAACCCUUUGAUCCUCCUACUGGUGAUCUUACUGUAGCGGAGCACAGAACUGAAGAGUGUGGAGAGGCGUUUCCCCCCGUUUUGCGGCCUCUAGAUGCUGAUUGGCUGUGGCUAUAUGUGUUUCUGGCACUCCCACCCUGGUAUCGAUUCCCCUCUUCUGGCUCUGGUUGAAUUGUACCAGCCAACCAUGUCAGGGACUAAAAUAAAGAACAAACUGUAGCAAACCUCCUAGCAGGAAUGGCCAGGCUCAGAUUUUAAACACGCCCUUAGCUGGGUUAGUGGAAUGUGUUUGGCAGGCAAUAUAGGGUUGCAGCAGAACAUGCUGAUCUACGUCAUCCAGCCAAUGCCUGCAUAAGAGGAGACUGAGACCAAACGCUUCAAAUGUACCUGCAGUGGGGAAGGGAGGGAGACUCUAUUUCCCUCCCCUCUUCGCUUUCUCCCGAAUUAAAUCCACUGCCCUGCAG